UAAAUAUUAAUCAUAUAGGUAAACAUUUACCUAUACGAUUGGUUCCUAACCACAAUGACCCGAAUGUGAUUUGAGGGCUUCUCACUAUCACAUUCAAAAUACAAUUUGUCACCUUCUCCAAGAACAUGUAAUGCACAAAAAUCCCUCAAACCACUACCCAAUUCUACACAUCCCAUUAGUCAUUGAUCGAUUAAAACAUCGCAUGUUAACUCCUUUGAAGGACCAUGCAAAACAACAGUAUUGAACAUCCGUGAGCAAAGAAAUGUUCCAAAAGCAGGAGGAAGUUCCUAC
rnacentral:lncRNA from 1 species